GUUUCCCAUCAGGGCCAGGUGGUCCCUCUCUGCCUUUCUCCCCUCGGAAGCCCUGCGUUCAAACACUUGUGACAAGGAGGAGGGCGUGGCCGGGCCGUGAUGAUGCACUGAAUCAGCUGAUCAGCGGGAGAGCGAGAUAACAGGGAGCUGGAGACGCCAGUUUGAGAGAGAGAGAGAGACGCAUGCGGCCACGUUGCAUGUGUGUCUGUGUUUGUUUAUGUUUUUUAUUAAACUUUAUGAUUACUGUUCAGCCAGUUCCUGCCUCCUCCUCGCCCAUCCUUUAUCUGUUACAGUGGUGCCGAAACCAGGGAGGGAGGAGGGAUGUACUGUCACGGAGUCCUCGCCACUGCCACCCCCCAGUGGAGCAGCUGCAGCCGUCUGCCUGGGUACGGAAGGGUCGCUGCCGUCCGCCGAGAGCCGGAGGAACCGCGGCUGUCCGCCAAAGAAGGGGAGGAGCAGUUCCAUCCGCCAGGGGCCGGAGGACUCACUGCCGUCCCCCGGUGGAGGAGCGAGUUGGUGUCUGCCAGAGGGCGGAGGAGCGGUUGAGGACCGAGCGACAGCACGUCAUGGAGCCGGGUGCUGGUGCAGGUGAAGGUGACGGAUUUGUCUGCUCCAUUAAUGGUCACGACAACCUGUUUGACCCCGUCCUGAGACAACACCCUCAAAAGGUCAAACUUCAUCCGGUGAGCUGGGUUCUUUAAGCGCAGUGUGGC